GACGAACGCUGGCGGCGUGCUUAACACAUGCAAGUCGAACGGAAAGGCCCUGCUUUUGUGGGGUGCUCGAGUGGCGAACGGGUGAGUAACACGUGAGUAACCUGCCCUUGACUUUGGGAUAACUUCAGGAAACUGGGGCUAAUACCGGAUAGGAGCUCCUGCUGCACGGUGGGGGUUGGAAAGAUUCGGCGGUUGGGGAUGGACUCGCGGCUUAUCAGCUUGUUGGUGGGGUAGUGGCUUACCAAGGCUUUGACGGGUAGCCGGCCUGAGAGGGUGACCGGCCACAUUGGGACUGAGGUACGGCCCAGAAUCCUACGGGAGGCAGCAGUGGGAAAUAUUGCACAAUGGGCGGAAGCCUGAUGCAGCAACGCCGCGUGCGGGAUGACGGCCUUCGGGUUGUAAACCACUUUCGCCUGUGACGAAGCGUGAGUGACGGUAAUGGGUAAAGAAGCACCGGCUAACUACGUG
rnacentral:rRNA from 1 species